rfam:Strongylocentrotus purpuratus Contig88794_fixed, whole genome shotgun sequence.
GGUAGCGAGCACAGAGCGGUCUAAAGGCGCUGGUUUUAGGCACCAGUCAUUUCGAUGGCGUGGGUUCGAAUCCCACCGCUGCCA